GCUAGAUCUGAUAAUAAUGAUAAAAACAAUAAAAAAAAAAUUACCUUAUAUAUCUUUGGUUCCAGGGAAGAAGGACUUAUGGCUAUCGAAGUCGAUUUUCUUUAUUUUAUAAAAUUUAAAAAUUAUCUUUAACAUUUUUAUGACUACUUUAAUGAUAAGACACUUCUACUAAUAUACUACCCGAUACCUAUUUAAGGAAAAAGUGUAAGGUCAGUUUUACGGACGAAAAUAACCUUGCGAGAAAAACUCACGUUUUGUAAACCGUUUCAACUAAAAUAUAAUAUUUUUUUAUUUCAAAGCAAAAUUUUUUACAGGUUACAGCGUAUUCCGUAACUCCGUAUUUUGAUUAAUUUGUAUGUAAUGUCAGAAGAAAUGUUAAAAAAAAAAAAAACAAAAAUUGAAAAUUUUUAGACGCUCAUAACAGUUCCUACUUUUCCUAGGAAUUUGAAUUUUGAAAAUUACUGAUCAAUGUGACCUCUAAAAAGUCUUCAUUUAUCAAAUGAUAAUAAUUAAAAUAAAUCAAAAUCAAACUUCUACGUAACGUGAGAGUAUUUCCGCAAUGCAUGAUUUGUACAAAAUAUACGGUGGCCUCAAGUCAAUUUCGUAUAGUUUUUAAUGCAAGUAAAUAAAAUUAUGAGAAUUGCUAAAUGUCCGAAUUUUGUAUAUAAUAAAUAUGCAUUUUUUUCCCCAAACAAAAGUGCAUUACACAGUGACUUAAGAUAUUUUAAUUUGAAUAUAAUAUGUGUUGGAAUAUCUAUAUAAUUAUGCCGUUUAGACAGAAAAUUACAUAGGAUGAAAUCGGC